rnacentral:misc_RNA from 1 species
AGCGCGCCCCGACCUGAGUGGAGCUCUUUUUUGCAGCUGGAAAAGCUAAGGCAAAAAAAGCGGGAAUGGAGGGCGGAUAAAGGC